rnacentral:rRNA from 1 species
AUGUGGAGCGCUUAGAAGUGAGAAUGCCGGUGUGAGUAGCGAAAGACGGGUGAGAAUCCCGUCCACCGAUUGACUAAGGUUUCCAGAGGAAGGCUCGUCCGCUCUGGGUUAGUCGGGUCCUAAGCUGAGGCCGACAGGCGUAGGCGAUGGAUAACAGGUUGAUAUUCCUGUACCACCUAUAAUCGUUUUAAUCGAUGGGGGGACGCAGUAGGAUAGGCGAAGCGUGCGAUUGGAUUGCACGUCUAAGCAGUAAGGCUGAGUAUUAGGCAAAUCCGGUACUCGUUAAGGCUGAGCUGUGAUGGGGAGAAGACAUUGUGUCUUCGAGUCGUUGAUUUCACACUGCCGAGAAAAGCCUCUAGAUAGAAAAUAGGUGCCCGUACCGCAAACCGACACAGGUAGUCAAGAUGAGAAUUCUAAGGUGAGCGAGCGAACUCUCGUUAAGGAACUCGGCAAAAUGACCCCGUAACUUCGGGAGAAGGGGUGCUCUUUAGGGUUAACGCCCAGAAGAGCCGCAGUGAAUAGGCCCAAGCGACUGUUUAUCAAAAACACAGGUCUCUGCUAAACCGUAAGGUGAUGUAUAGGGGCUGACGCCUGCCCGGUGCUGGAAGGUUAAGAGGAGUGGUUAGCUUCUGCGAAGCUACGAAUCGAAGCCCCAGUAAACGGCGGCCGUAACUAUAACGGUCCUAAGGUAGCGAAAUUCCUUGUCGGGUAAGUUCCGACCCGCACGAAAGGCGUAACGAUUUGGGCACUGUCUCAACGAGAGACUCGGUGAAAUCAUAGUACCUGUGAAGAUGCAGGUUACCCGCGACAGGACGGAAAGACCCCGUGGAGCUUUACUGUAGCCUGAUAUUGAAAUUCGGCACAGCUUGUACAGGAUAGGUAGGAGCCUUUGAAACGUGAGCGCUAGCUUACGUGGAGGCGCUGGUGGGAUACUACCCUAGCUGUGUUGGCUUUCUAACCCGCACCACUUAUCGUGGUGGGAGACAGUGUCAGGCGGGCAGUUUGACUGGGGCGGUCGCCUCCUAAAAGGUAACGGAGGCGCUCAAAGGUUCCCUCAGAAUGGUUGGAAAUCAUUCAUAGAGUGUAAAGGCAUAAGGGAGCUUGACUGCGAGACCUACAAGUCGAGCAGGGUCGAAAGACGGACUUAGUGAUCCGGUGGUUCCGCAUGGAAGGGCCAUCGCUCAACGGAUAAAAGCUACCCCGGGGAUAACAGGCUUAUCUCCCCCAAGAGUUCACAUCGACGGGGAGGUUUGGCACCUCGAUGUCGGCUCAUCGCAUCCUGGGGCUGUAGUCGGUCCCAAGGGUUGGGCUGUUCGCCCAUUAAAGCGGUACGCGAGCUGGGUUCAGAACGUCGUGAGACAGUUCGGUCCCUAUCCGUCGUGGGCGUAGGAAAUUUGAGAGGAGCUGUCCUUAGUACGAGAGGACCGGGAUGGACAUACCUCUGGUGUACCAGUUGUCGUGCCAACGGCAUAGCUGGGUAGCUAUGUGUGGACGGGAUAAGUGCUGAAAGCAUCUAAGCAUGAAGCCCCCCUCAAGAUGAGAUUUCCCAACUUCGGUUAUAAGAUCCCUCAAAGAUGAUGAGGUUAAUAGGUUCGAGGUGGAAGCAUGGUGACAUGUGGAGCUGACGAAUACUAAUCGAUCGAAGACUUAAUCAA